UACGAAGGGGGGCUAGCGUUGCUCGGAAUCACUGGGCGUAAAGCGCACGUAGGCGGCCAUUCAAGUCAGAGGUGAAAGCCCAGGGCUCAACCUUGGAACUGCCUUUGAAACUAGAUGGCUAGAAUUCUGGAGAGGUCAGUGGAAUUCCGAGUGUAGAGGUGAAAUUCGUAGAUAUUCGGAAGAACACCAGUGGCGAAGGCGACUGACUGGACAGAUAUUGACGCUGAGGUGCGAAAGCGUGGGGAGCAACAGG
rnacentral:rRNA from 1 species